AACGAACGCUGGCGGCAUGCCUAACACAUGCAAGUCGAACGAGACCUUCGGGUCUAGUGGCGCACGGGUUCGUAAAGCGUGGGAAACUGCCCUUAGGUUCGGCCUAACUCCCCGAAUAGGGUGCUAAUACCGGAUAAUGUCUUCGGACCAAAGAUUUGUCGCCUUUGGAUGGGCCGGCGUUGGAUUAGCUAGUUGGUAGGGUAAAAGGCUACAAAGGCGAGGAUCCAUAGAUGGUCAGAGAGGAUGAGCAGCCACACUGGGACUGAGACACGACCCGGAAUCCUACGGGAGGCAGCAGAGGGUAAUACUGGAAAACGGGCGGAAGCCUGAUCGAGCACGGGCGGGUGAGUGAUGAAGUUCGGAGAGUUGUAAAGCUCGUUUACCCGGGAUGAGAAUGACAGUACCGGAAGAAUAAGCACCGGCUAACUCCGUG
rnacentral:rRNA from 1 species